GGAAGUGUGGCUCAGUGGUAGAGCAUUUGUCUGGCAUGCCCAAAGCCCUGGGUUCUAUCCCAAGCAGUGCCA
rnacentral:tRNA from 1 species